rnacentral:tRNA from 1 species
GCGAUCGUUGUCUAGUCUGGUUAUGAUGUAGGCUUCCCAAGCCUGUGACCCGGGUUCAAAUCCCGGCGGUCGCACCA